rnacentral:rRNA from 1 species
UGGGGAAUAUUGGACAAUGGGGGCAACCCUGAUCCAGCAACGCCGCGUGAAUGAAGAAGGCCUUCGGGUUGUAAAGUUCUUUUGUCUGGGAGCAAAGUUUCACGGUAAAUAGCCGUGGAAGCUGAGAGUACCGGAAGAAUAAGCACCGGCUAACUACGUGCCAGCAGCCGCGGUAAUACGUAGGGUGCAAGCGUUAAUCGGAAUAACUGGGCGUAAAGGGUGCGUAGGCGGGUAUACAAGUUAGAUGUGAAAACCCUGAGCUUAACUUGGGAAUGGCAUUUAAGACUGUAUGUCUAGAGUCUGUAAGAGGGUGGUAGAAUUCCGAGUGUAGCAGUGAAAUGCGUAGAUAUUCGGAGGAAUACCGAUGGCGAAGGCAGCCACCUGGGAUAAGACUGACGCU